GAAAGUAAAUAAGGGCGCAUGGCGGAUGCCUUGGCUCUCGGAGGCGAUGAAGGACGUGAUAAGCUGCGAUAAGCUUUGGGGAGGUGCAAAUGACCUUUGAUCCAGAGAUUUCCGAAUGGGACAACCCAAUAUCUUGAAGAGGUAUUAUCCAACGUUGUUGGAGGCUAACGCAGGGAACUGAAACAUCUUAGUACCUGCAGGAAAAGAAAAUAAACAAUGAUUCCCCCAGUAGUGGCGAGCGAACGGGGAACAGCCCAAACCAUCCAUGUUACGGCAUGGGUGGGGUUGUAGGACUACGCCGUUGCAUGAAGACAUCAGAGAAGAACUUUCUGGAAAGAAAGACCAUAGAGCAUGACAGUUGCGUAUUCGAAUGUUGUCGAAGCAUAGUAGUAUCCUGAGUAGCGCGGAGCACGAGGAAUUCUGCGUGAAUCUGCCGGGACCAUCCGGUAAGGCUAAAUACUCCCGAGAGACCGAUAGCGAACCAGUACCGUGAGGGAAAGGUGAAAAGCACUUCGAACAGAAGAGUGAAAUAGUUCCUGAAACCGUGCGCCUACAAGCGGUCGGAGCUCGUUAAUGAGUGACGGCGUGCCUUUUGCAUAAUGAACCUACGAGUUGCCUUUGCCGGCAAGGUUAAGUGUGACGACACACGUAUCCGAAGCGAAAGCGAGUCUGAACAGGGCGUAUAGUCGGCAGUGGCAGACGCGAAACCAAGUGAUCUACCCUUGGCCAGGUUGAAGGCUGGGUAACACCAGCUGGAGGACCGCACCAAUAAGCGUUGAAAAGCUUCUGGAUGAGCUGAGGGUAGGGGUGAAAGGCUAAUCAAACUUGGAGAUAGCUCGUACUCCCCGAAAUGCAUUUAGGUGCAGCCUUGCGGGUUACUGAUGUGAGGUAGAGCGACUGAUAAGAUGCGAGGGCUUCACCGCCUAUCAAGUCUUGACAAACUCCGAAUGCGCAUCAGUUCUACCGCAGGAGUGAGGGCAUGGGUGCUAAGGUCCGUGCCCGAGAGGAGAAGAAUCCGGACCACCUGCUAAGGUCCCGAAAUGACAGCUAAGUUAAACUAACGAAGUCUGACUGCUAAGACAGCUAGGAUGUUGGCUUGGAAGCAGCCAUUCAUUUAAAGAGUGCGUAACAGCUCACUAGUCGAGGAGUCGGGCGUGGAUAAUAAUCGGGUAUCAAGUUGUCUACCGAAGCAGUGGGAUCAUUAAUAUGAUCGGUAGGGGAGCAUUCCAGUCAGCGUCGAAGGCGUACCGUGAGGUAUUCUGGAGCGUCUGGAAAAGCAAAUGUAGGUAUAAGUAACGAUAAAGGGGGCGGGAACCCCCCUCGCCGAAAGACUAAGGUUUCCUGAUCAACGCUAAUCGGAUCAGGGUUAGUCGGGUCCUAAGGCUCAGCCGAACGGUGAGGCCGAUGGCAGAACAGGUUAAUAUUCCUGUACUACCUGUAGGAGUGAUGUGGAGACGGAGGAGUGACAACGCCGCGGACUGACGGAAUAGUCCGUUAAAGGGUGUAGAUGUUGAUUAUCCCAGGCAAAUCCGGGAUAAGAGUCGAACCUGACAGUAUACCAAUUUCCUCGGAAAACGGUAAUAGUGCGUGUAAACAUACUCCCAAGAAAAUCCGCUAAACUUAAUCUUACAGGUACCCGUACCGUAAACGGACACACGUAGUCGGGUUGAAUAUACUCAGGCGCUUGAGUGAAUCACGGUUAAGGAACUAGGCAAAUUGACCCUGUAACUUCGGGAUAAAGGGUCCCUACCCGGUGACGGGAGGGCGCAGAGAAUAGGUCCAGGCAACUGUUUAACAAAAACACAGGGCUGUGCAAAAUUGAAAGAUGAAGUAUACAGCCUGACACCUGCCCGGUGCUGGAAGGUUAAGAGGAGAUGUCAUCGCAAGAGAAGCGUUGAAUUGAAGCCCCGGUAAACGGCGGCCGUAACUAUAACGGUCCUAAGGUAGCGAAAUUCCUUGUCGGGUAAGUUCCGACCUGCACGAAUGGUGUAAUGAUCUGGACGCUGUCUCAACCGUGAGCUCAGUGAAAUUGUAGUAUCGGUGAAGAUGCCGAUUACCCGCGAUGGGACGAAAAGACCCCGUGAACCUUUACUAUAGCUUAUCAUUGAAUCUGGGCACGUGAUGUGUAGGAUAGGUCGGAGGCUUUGAAGCAGGUACGCCAGUAUUUGUGGAGCCGCUGUUGAAAUACGACCCUUUAUUUGUUUGGAUUCUAACCCGUGGAACGGGGACAUUGAUUGGUGGGUAGUUUGACUGGGGUGGUCGCCUCCAAAAGCGUAACGGAGGCUUCUAAAGGUGCCCUCACGACGAUUGGUAACCGUCGGCAGAGUGUAAUGGCAUAAGGGCGCUUGACUGGGAGACUAACAAGUCGAUCAGGUAGGAAACUAGAGCAUAGUGAUCCGGUGUUUCCGUAUGGAAGGGACAUCGCUCAAAGGAUAAAAGGUACUCCGGGGAUAACAGGCUGAUCCCUCCCAAGAGCUCAUAUCGACGGAGUGGUUUGGCACCUCGAUGUCGGCUCGUCACAUCCUGGGGCUGGAGAAGGUCCCAAGGGUUGGGCUGUUCGCCCAUUAAAGUGGCACGCGAGCUGGGUUCAGAACGUCGUGAGACAGUUCGGUCUCUAUCUAUCGUGGGCG
rnacentral:rRNA from 1 species